GGAGGGUGCAAGCGUUGUUCGGAAUUACUGGGCGUAAAGAGCGUGUAGGCGGCUGACCAAGUCCGGUGUGAAAGCCCGGGGCUUACCCCCGGAAGUGCGCUGGAAACUGGUCGACUAGAGUAUGGGAGAGGGAAGUGGAAUUCCUGGUGUAGCGGUGAAAUGCGUAGAUAUCAGGAGGAACACCGGCGGCGAAGGCGGCUUCCUGGACCAAUACUGACGCUGAGACGCGAAAGCGUGGGGAGCAAACAGGAUUAGAUACCCUGGUAGUCCACGCCGUAAACGAUGGGCACUAGAUGCCGCGGGUAUUGACCCCUGCGGUGUCGUAGCUAACGCGUUAAGUGCCCCGCCUGGGGAGUACGGUCGCAAGAUUA
rnacentral:rRNA from 1 species